CAACCACUCAAGCCUUGGCUUGGUCUUGGGGUUCGCGGUCUCGCGGCCCUUAAAAUCAGUGGCGGUGCCGUCUGGCUCUAAGCGUAGUAAUUCUCUCGCUAUAGAGUCCCGGUGGUUACCUGCCAGAACCCCCCAUUUUUUAC
rnacentral:misc_RNA from 1 species